AGCUCUCCGAGUAGUAAGGAUGUUUAUUGGGCCUAAAGCGUCCGUAGCCGGCUCAGCAAGUCCUCCGUUAAAUCCAGCGAUUUAAUCGUUGGCCUGCGGGGUAUACUGUUGAGCUAGGGGACGGGAGAGGCCGACGGUAUUUCCGGAGUAGGGGUGAAAUCCUAUAAUUCCGGGAGGACCACCAGUGGCGAAGGCUGUCGGCUAGAACGAGCUCAACGGUGAGGGACGAAAGCUGGGGGAGCGAACCGGAUUAGAUACCCGAGUAGUCC
rnacentral:rRNA from 1 species